GGCUUGUUGAUGUGUAAAAGCAGCACCUUUUCUGUUGGAGAUCUCUUGGCUGAAGAGAUGCAGUUUCUACCCACCAUUGAGAAUGAGGAUGUCACCAGCAUAGCCUUAGAAGUAAAAACCUGUACAGCUGUGGCAAACACAAAGCUGAUGUAACUGCUGACUUUGAAUGAGCAAGUGACAGGAAAAACAUGUUCUGCUUUUAUUUUCCUGUAACCUUACUGCAAGUUACAUCCAAAACACAGGAGAAAGGGGAACCUGCUGAAAGCAAGCUUGAAGGGUUUAUUUACCAGUUGUAAUGAACAAUAACAAGAGAACCUUCACAGA